rnacentral:lncRNA from 1 species
GUGGAACUGAAAGCCUUGGUUCCCAGGAGCUCAAGCCCACUGGGACCAACAACAGAACGAAGGGAGUUUGCCUACAAUUUAUGACAAGCAGGCAGCCCAUCUCCAUGGCCUGAGCUGCAUAAUAAGCAGGAAGAUGAAGCAAAAGGGUUGGCCCUCCAGUGUCAGAGAAGAUGAACAAAGCUUAUUAAUGCAUGGUAAUACCAGCGUGAUAUCAGAACAGCUUCCCCCAGCAACAACCCAGUUCUCUCACUGUGAUGAAGUGCUCUGCCUUCUGCCUCAGACUUUAGCCACUUGGGAUCUGCAUUAUUGCCUUGUAAAAUUGAUGGGCAGUGGCACAAUCUCCUAGUUUAAGGAAUUUCUGUUAGCAUUAGCAAAAUGCAAUGGCUUUGCAAUUUCUAAGGGCAUUCCUUGCAAUAGGAAAGUGAAUAAAAAUUGGGCCAGACUGGAACAAUGCCCAUCUCUAAUCCCUGUGGCUCCCCUGCUCAGUCUCCUCCAUGUCAUCAGCAGCAGGUGUGAGCUCAGGUCUCCCAAGGUGGGCAAGUCUUAUUUAUACUUAACCUGAAUGGGGCAAGAGGGGGGAUGUUCAUCUUAGUGGGUCUUUUUCUUUGAUCCCCUGAGGAGGUUAUUCAAGAUCAGAGUCUCUUUUCCUUCCAAACUGCUUGGAGAUGUUUCCCAAUUUUUAAAAUCCAACCUGCUCAAUAGUCUUGUGUCUUAAAAACUAUGCUUCUUUAGAAAGGUGACAGGCAGUGGCAGCUGGAUCUUUCUGGUAGCCAAGUGCUCUGGGGAGAGGAGGGUUGAGAAUGAAUCUGAGCUUUUCCUUCUAAGUCUUUGGAUUUUGAGUAGCCCAAGAUGGCUCUCUUCACCACCAUGUUCUGAAGCAGGGGUGACUAUUUCUCUUCCUGAGGUUGGGGAGCUGAGUAUCACAGUUAGGCAACGGUGGGCCAUGCGCUGGUGAAAUGGAUCAAACAUACAGGCCACGAGGGAAAGCAGGAACAGGCCACAGACAGUCAGACCCAAGGCACAUGCUAUUUUCUGCCUUACUGAAAAGAUGAAACAUAGCUGUAUCCUGGCCGCUUCAACUGGCGGGAAAUGAAAAGUACAGAAAACCCAUCUACAAGAAGUAAAAUCAACAAGCACAAAGGGAGACAGAGGAAAGCUCUGGAGAAGAGCCCUCCUUGAUGUGAGCACAAGGGACCUCCAUGCUCCUACUUCUGCUGGUCUCCAUUUCACCAGGCGCCUCCCUCCGACUUCCAAUUGGCCACAAGCUUCGUCGCUCUCUCUCAAAGCAAUUUUGUGUGUGAGUAUAGUCAGAAGAAGGCUCCAAAGGCAACAUCUGGGUCUGGUCACUGAAGACAGAUGGGCUCCUUCUACUUCUUCUCCCAUCCCCUGGAGGCCUCUGCCAGAGGCUCUGCGGUUUCUGCGGGGCCUGGAGAUCCACAUGUAAAAUCCCUGCUGUAACACAGUGCUUUGUGCUCCGGUGGAAAAACAGCGCUGCUGAAAGCCUCUACCCAUGUAUAAUUUAGCAACAUCACCUGGGGCCGCAGGCACAGUUUGGAGGACAAUGUCAUGGGUGCCUCGGGAUCCACACCUAACUGGGGCAUCUCAUGACAAUCGAGGGAAAGGAUAAUGUCUGCUUUGCUCCCUGAAUUGAUAUCUCUCUGCACUGGUGUCACAAUUACAACUGAAAGGGUGUGGCAGAUGCAUGCAACUCUCAGGGAACAGCCUGCAGCAGAACAUCUUGGCAGGGGGAGGACAAGAGCUGGCCAGACACUUCUGGAAGUUCUGGAAGGAGAUGCUGAAGCUCUACCCAUUCCACUGUAAAGGACAACACCAGGAAAUCCCAGUUAAUAUGGUUUAACCUCCUAAUCAUGCACCGACUAUCCCCCACCAUUGCAUGGGAGGCAGAGAAGAAUAAAACACUGUGCACAUGUGUCCAAAUAGAAUCAAGGGCACUUUUUAAUUGCUUUUUUUUUUUAAACUCAAUGUGUAGAGUAAGUUUUUCACUGGCCUGAUCAAAAGAAAACCAGGGACAGAAAACUAACUGGCUGUGCAAUGCAGACCCCUGCCUGAAGAAGGGACUUCAGGUGGGAAACUUUGCAGAAAGCCCUGUGCAAAGCUGGCUACAACUGCACCCCUCAGAGUAUGAGGAAAAAGGAAAAAAAACCACAACAAGUUCAAGUGAAGAGGAAAGGCCCCUUGAAGGCCUACCAGCCAGCUCCCAAGUGCUCUUCCUUAUAUGUCAAUAUCUUGGUGCUGUUGCAGGACAUUGGAGCAGGCUCAGUGUAACCUCACCCCUGCUGGCAAGAGGCUCCCUGGCCCCACCUCCAGACCCGCCCCAGGCAGGAAGAAGAGCACCCAGGUCUUGGGGCAUGCUGAUGGAAAGGCAGCAUUCCUAGAAUAGGAAAGCAACUGACUGAGAAGCCUCUGUCCCCUUGAAUUAGAGUUUAUUGGUAGGAAAUAAGAGGCUGAAGCCAACUGCGGGCUUCACAGUGAUCCUCACGCCCAGAUGGGCUGACCUAGGAGCAGUAUAGGCUCUACACACCAUUCUGCUGUCAAGUGGUCAAAAUGAACGCAUCAGAAGGUCAAAUUCUGGCUCGGCCUCCAAGUGCAGAGACAGCAUUAACUUCGAGAGUAUUGCUGGCAACCAUUAUAACCCUCUAAUUGCCUAUGCAAUGCACAAGAUUUUAAAAUAUAUGUAUUGCACAAACAAUAUUGUGAAACAACAGAAAUCAACUCUCUCAUCUUAAAAAAACCUUAAUACGAGGUUCCAGGAGGGGAUUUAAAAAAUGAUAUGGCUGUUCUUUGCUUCAGGCAAUAAACAUGCUACUGAAAACCUAUGUGUAAAUACAGUCUUAUGCCAACUAAGUCCUUCUUAAAAAUGCACCAGAAAACAGGCUCUGUUUUAAGCACUUAAUUGUAUUUGCUCAUUAAGUCUUCAGAAGCUCUGGAAGUAGAUUUUAUUAAGAUCUUCAUUUUGCAGGUAGGAAAUUGCAACACAGAAAUGUUCAGUAACUUGGACAAGGUUGCAGAGCUGAGUUGGAACAGGGUGCCCAGGCCUCUGAGCCCACAUCCCUAACCAUGGGCUACACUGCCUCCCAAUGGACUGAGAGUGAGUUAGUUCCCUGGCAAAACCUGCCCCUCCCAAGCAUGCUGUUUAUAAAGAUGGAUGAUCACACAUGGUCACAUUUAAUAUCAACAACAUCCCAUACUUAAAUCUUUGAAUGAAAAGAUAUGACUAUUUCCUGAUAAAGCAUCACACAGCUAAGACAAAGAGCUGAAUGCAUAAAGAAGUUUCCCCAUAUCCAUUCGCCUUUCUUUUCUUGAAAAGCCUCAAAUAGAUUUGGGCAGCCAUACAGCCAAUUAAAAAAAUACUUUCCUGCAGAGGAUCUACAAAAAAUGUCAGCUAACAUCAUACUUAAAGGUAAAGGCUGAGUGCUUUCCCCUUAAGUUCAAGUAGAAGAUGAGGAUUCUGUUAUCAGCACUUCCUUUCAACACCAAAAUGGAGAUUCUAGCCAGGGCAAUAAGGCAAGAAAAGGAAAUUAAAGGAGAUUAAAAAGGAAUAAGUAGGCCAGGCACAGUGGCUUAAACCUGCAAACCCAGCACUUUGGGAGGCCGAGGAGCUCAGAGGGCUGAGGUGGGAGGAUUGCUUGAGCCUGGGUAUACUGAGCCAAGAUCAUGCCAUUGCACUCUAGCCUGGGUGACACAGUGAGACCCUGUCUCAAAAAAACUCCAAAACAAACAAAAAGGAGUAAGUAAGACUGACUCCACUCAAAAAGACAUGAUUGUCUAUGUAGAAAAAUCUUAAGAAAUAUUUAUUUAUUUAUUUAUUUUUGAGACAGGGUCUCACUCCUGUCACCCAGGCUUGACUGCAGUGGCAUGAUCAUGGCUCACUGCAGCCUUGACCUCCUGGGUUCUUGCAAUCCUCCCAACCUCAGCCUUCUGGGUAGCCGGGACUACAGGUGCACAACACCAUGCAUGGCUAACUCUUCUGAAUUUUCAGUAGAGAUAGGGUCUUGCUGUGUUGCUGGAUCUGGUCUCAAACUCCUGGGCUCGAGUGAUCUGCCAGCAUUGGCCUCCCAAAGUUGCUGGAAUUACAGGUGUGAGCCACUGUGCCCAGCCUAAGAAAUAUAUAAUAAAGCUGUUAGAGAAAUAGGAGCACAGGAGAACCAAGGUGACAUCAUUUUAAAAUCAACUCCAUCUUAAAACUAGCAAGGCACAUUCCUUGCCAGUCAUGAACCAUGGUCAUAAGAUGUUUACAGUUGAGAAAACAGCUUAAAUGUACCUGAAAGAACACAAUCUUACAACAAAGGAAAGUCCAGAUGUCCCAAUAACCAUAACGAUAUAUGAUUUUAAGAUAAUUAUAUUUAUGCUUUGAGGUACUUAUUCAAUAAAAAAAACAAGGGGCCAAGUGCGG